GAUGAACGCUGGCGGCGUGCCUAAUACAUGCAAGUCGACCGACACUUUUUUAUUACCGAGUGCUUGCACCCACCGAUAAAGAGUUGAGUGGCGAACGGGUGAGUAACACGUGGGCAACCUGCCCAAAAGAGGGGGAUAACACUUGGAACCAGGUGCUAAUACCGCAUAACCAUUGUUACCGCAUGGUAACACUGUAAAAGGUUGUUAUCCUACUGCUUUUGGUUGGGGCCGCGGCAGAUUAGCUACUUGGUAGGGUAAAGGCUUGCCCAGGCAAUGCAGCGUAGCCGAAUUGAGAGAUGAAUCCACCAAAUUGGGACUGUGACAAGGCCCACACUUCUAGCGUAGACAACAGUAGGGAAUCAUCCACAGUGGUCGAAAGUCUGAUGAAGCAGCGCCACGUGGGGGAAGCAGGUCUUCGGAUCGUAAAACCCUGUUGUUAGAGAAGAAAGGGAGUAAGAGUAACUGUUCACGUUUCGACGGUAGCUAAACAGAAAGCCACGGCUAACUACGUG
rnacentral:rRNA from 1 species